AUAGAGGGUGAGGCCUGCCCAAUGGUUGUAUCUAAAAGCGGUUGAUAAAAGUCGACCUCGUAAGGACAAUUGAAUGGCCGCGGUAACACUGACCGUGAUAAUGUAGCGUAAUCAAUAGCCAAUUAAUUGUUGGCCAGUAUGAAUGGUGCCACGAAGGCCCCACUGUCUUAAGGAAAUUCCCAGUGAAAUUGAAUUCGUAGUGAAGAUGCUACGUCCAAUUUGUUAGACGAAAAGACCCCGUUGAGCUUUACUGGGGCACUUACACGGCCCCGGCCUUCCAAACUAGGCUUACCAUGCCUAGGGGUCGGCCGAAUUUAAAUGGGUGGCUUAGAUUAUGUGGCAGCCCCCCGUCGGGGCAGAUGAAACCCCACUCCCCCAUGUCAAAGGGGCUAACCCCCCCCCCUUGGGGGGGGGACAGUGUAAGUAGGACAGUUUGGUUGGGGCGACCGCCUUUUAAAGAGUAACGAAGGUGCGCUUAAGGUGCGCAAAUAAUGACUGAAGCCUGACUGCGAGGGGGACACCCCGAGCAGACACCCCCAAGCCUGCCCUAAGGGCGGCGGUGGGGUGGGCCAUAGUGACCCGUUAAUUUAGAGUGGAAUAGUUAACGAUCAACGAAUAAAAGUUACCACGGGGAUAACAGCGUAAUAUCGUUAGAGAGUUCACAUCGACGACGAUGUUUGCGACCUCGAUGU
rnacentral:rRNA from 1 species